UCUAGAAAGCUGUUGUUUAAUAUCAUUUUUCCAUUAAUUAAAAAAAUAGCCAAUUGAAUACCUUUUCUGUCCUGUUAACUCUGCUAGGUUUUUGCACUUGUUAUUAUGCUUUUUUUUUUUUCCCACAAAAUUAGAAUAAGGUUGGCAUUAUGGUCUCUGUUUCACAGAUGAGGAAUCUGAAGCCUGAAAAAGUUCAGUGGUUUAUCCAGGGUCUCACAACCCGUAUAUAACAAGUCAAGAUUCAAACCCAGGUCCUUGUACACAUACUUCAUCUUCUUUUUCAAAUAAGGACAGUGGAGUUAGUGAAUGCACAACCCCAACGUACAGAGGCCUCUUACUGGCUAGGAGCUCACUCCUCCUUCCCUAAAAGACAGCAGAACAAACUGAGUCCAGGUUCUCUCUCUUUUGGUAGCUUCCCAAGAGGCUGAUGUUUUCUUCUCCUUCCUUUACAGCUUUGCAAAUAUGUGCUUUUGACAUCAGUGUACAGUUUGGCAUCUGCUUUGGAAAUAUUCUUGCAAAUAAGGCAGAAAAGACAUCUUUUGUGAAAGGGUCUUUGAUGGAGCCCGAAUUUGCUGCAAAAAUACGAAGAGCUAGACUUGGCAAUCCAGACCUGGGAGUCAGCUCCAUAAGGGUUACUUCACUGCAGCCUGCAGGUCAGUGGCUUCCCACACAGGAACACAUUGCUAUGACAAGCCAGGCUUGUUCCCAGCUUGGACUCAUGCCAACCAUACCCUUUGCCUGGAAUGUCUUACCUCAGGUCUAGGGACCAACUUCUGUAGCUAAUUCAGUUCUCAGAUUAAAUGUCACCUCCUUAGACUGCCGUUCCCUGAUUGUUCAUUCUCGAGUGGUCCAGUGCAGCCUCUCCAUCACACCCCUCUUUGAUUUUCUGUAGAACAUGUACCAUGCCCUGAGAUUUUCUUGUUUAUUUGCUUAGUGCUUAUGUGCCCUUCACUAGAAUUUAAGCUCAAUGAGAACAGCAGCUUUGUCUUUCCAUUUCUCUCAUUAGCUCCUGGCACAGUGUCCUGUAGUAAUAGAAUAACAGGAACUCAAGAAAUAUUUGCAGAAUGUUGAAGGAAGAUAUUAUACUUUCUUGCACCAUAAAGACCAAAGUGCUCUACCUAACUUUUAAAGAGGAAAUGGUAGCCACUUAAAAACAAAAAAGCAACCAAAAAAAGCAACUGAAUAAAAGCAUAUACUUUAAAAAUCUUGCUUGUGUUUUAACUUUUUGCAAAAGGAGACAUAAUUAAAGUGUUUCAGUCUCCCCCUGGACCUCUGACAGCAAAAUUAGCAUGAAGGAGAACAGUACGUAAUAGAAAGUGAAGGUAAGCAUUAAACCGUUGUUUGUCUCAUGCAAAUUGCACAAUCUAAUUCUGAUUCAUGAUGGAGGAAAAAAAAAAACACCCUCUUUUCUUUUGAAGUCAGAAGUGAUCAAUGUCAGCUGAAAUGCUUCAGAAAUGCCUUAACUUUGGGUAUGGACUUUAUGUAAAGGAGUAUUUAUUGGACACUUUUGAAAUGCUGUCAACUACCCUGGCACUGGGGUAACAAUGAUAAAAAGGCCAAGUCCUCUCUCUCCCUCUCCCAAGGAGUUCACAGUCUAUAGGGUGGUAGAGAUAAGCAACACAACAGUGUGAGAAGUGGUAUAAAUAUGGGGUGUCGCAAAAGCUCUAGGGAUGUGCCGGUGGCUUCAUGAAAAAUGUGGCUUUGCAGUAAUGAAGUUGAAGAAAAUUUAACAGUCUUCAGAGAUGUGCCCUAAUAGUAACAGCAGCUGAUGGAUAAAUAAGAAAUGUGCAGAAAUCAAGUUUAACAAUGGACUUUCAGCAGGUGUGAUGAGUCAGUCAAUCACCAGGCUGUUACUGAGUGCUGCCCCUGUACCAGAACUCUCUGGGUGCUGUGUGUUCAUCUUUCAAGAUGCUCACAGCGUACCGUCCUGCUGGGUCAGUGGAGGCAUCCAAAAUGCACAGAAGAUUGCUUCCUUUCUUCACCGGGCUUUGGAUCUCAGUAGUCCACAAGAAGAGUGUCUGUUGGCACUGUCAAAGCAAUCAGUGUGCCUUUAUUUUACCCCACUGGCAUGCAGACCUUCUGACCAGACCCUCAAAGGAGGUUGAAAUGGAAAGGGAGUCUGUCAGAUAAACUCAAAGGCCAUCUGUAGGCUCUGGGAAUUUACUCCAGAUCUUUUGGGAAAAUGUAUGUCCUCACUCUUGUUGCUGUUGCAGCAGAUAUCUUCCCUUCUGAAAAGCUAUUCAUCUCUUUCUGUUUUGUAUGCAUCUCCUGGAUCGGGCCCAGUUCUGCUGAGAUGGGUGGGGUAAUUUGAUUUAUGACAGCAGAGAAAUAGGCUUUCAGUUAUUUUUUGAGUCAGAAACAUCUUAGAACACCAAAAUAAAUGGUGACAGGAAGUACAGUCCAUGCCAAAUGCCCUGCAUCGUGUUGAGUUAGGGUGUCAGAUUUAAAGAGAAUGUUGAUAGCAUUUACUCAUUAAGAAGUUUGCUGCUUCCUUGCUCAGGAAAGCAUGAGAUUGAAUCCUCCAAAACGUUUACCCUCUUCCCCAUUCUGGUGUCUUUGCUCAAACCUGGCUGCUUCUUGAAUUUCUUCUUCCUGUCACUACGGUUUUGAUUCAAGUGAUUUCAGGGAGAAUGACGUAGCCGGGAUAAUGCUGCAGUUUCUUCCUCUGCACAGCCUAGCUACUGGUCACUGCAGCUCUUCCUAGUAGUGCCUGGUUGGGUGUGUGAGUGGGGGUGAUGGUGAGAGCAAGGCCACUGACACCCCUAGUAGGGAUGGGGGAAGCAGACAGCUGAGCUGACUGGAAGACUCCAGCUGGCACACUGCCAUCACACAUACACCUAGCGGCAAGUACACACCAUCCCUGCCUCUGUAAGUCCCUGGAAGGCUAUCUGAUUGUAGUUCAUCCAGUAACCCAAAGACAGAGCUCUACGUUCCCGGGGUUAGCAGUGACGGAGAUGAAAACCAACAUUUCCUGUGUACUUACAAGCAGAAAAUAUUAAGAAUGCCUUGCCCCAACAAGCAGAAAAUAUCAAUGAAUUCAGUAAGGGUUUAAAUAUAGUGCCUAACCUUAUUAAGAAGAGAUUGGAGAUAUUUGGGCCAUGUCACCAAAGCUUUUAAAUCAACAUUAUGGGAAGUAACUCCCACAGAUCUUGCCAAAGACAGAUAUAUGGGUUGCAGUUUUGAUAUAUAGUGUGGCAUUUGAGAAUGUACUUAUAUCUAAUGGGUCCCAGAGUGUUAAUUACUUUUUUAGUUAGAGUGAAUUAUUACACAUAUUUAAAUGAAACGAUGAAGACAACAGCAGUAGAAAUAGUAAAGAACCACAACUUUUCCCUUCCAUACACACCUUGCUUCAACCACCACCAUCACCAUCACAACCACAGAUAACUGGCAUAACUGGCACCGUCAUAGACCCAACACCAGGAAGUCUAUUUAUAGGCAUGAUCUCAUUUAACUAUUACAGAAAAACCUACACAGAAAAUAUCAUUAUCAUUUCCAUUCUACAGGUGGAAAAAGUUGAGUUUUUGAAAGGUUGUAAACUGACCCAUGGUCCCGUAGUUGACAAAGUGCAGAGUCUAUCUUAACAAGCUUUGCAAUUUCAAAGACCUUGCUCUCUGACAUAAUACAGCUUUCUCUUAAUGAGAAGUGGCUACGAGAAGAGGGAUGUCCCACUUUCCCUCCAGUAUGUAUUUCCCAGGCUUUAGUUUGACCUCUCAUCGGGAUCAUGCAUUUCCAACUUUCAACUAAUGGUUUAUUCUUAUAUGUAUCAUCCGGCCUUUCUUAAAACAUAAACCCACCCACAAAACGAAUGCCACUAAAUAAAUACCAGAUCAAGAUAGUAUCUUUAAGUUUUGCCUUUAAAAAAUUCCUUCCAAAAGAAUGAUAAAUUACACUGCUUGGUGUAAUGCUAACUUCCUCCCCUUCAGUUACUUGCUUAUGUGAUCCUCUCCUUCUCUGUUCCUGUCCUUUCUGUAAACCCUGAUGAGGUUGACUUGAAACCUGGCAAUUUGGAGGCUUUUUCACUUCUUCCUUAGGAACAGCUAGCAGUGAUUUAUUUCCUACCUGUGAGCUGUAUAGACCACACCUCUCCCUCGCAGCCUUAAGAGCAAGGAGUCAGUCUUGUCUUAGGCCCAGACAUGUUUUCCUAAUUUGCUGAUGGACUCAGUCAGUUUCCUGCUGGCCUCUGGCUCUUUCCUGCCAGCAUUAUCUGCAUUGGGGUUUGCCAGAUGCUUCCACUGGGCCUUGUUUAUCCAGGUUAAAUUGUUAAUGCGGUUGCACCUCUGUUCUUCCCACCAGACUAUGAUUCCAUGGCAGGGACAAAUUUGUAGUUACUUUUGUAGUUCUGGUGCCUGGGGUGGGCCAGGUAUGGUGGGUAGGACUGCUGUAUAAAAUGGAAGGAAGGAAG
rnacentral:lncRNA from 1 species